rnacentral:rRNA from 1 species
UGCAAGUCGAGCGGUAGAGAGAAGCUUGCUUCUCUUGAGAGCGGCGGACGGGUGAGUAAUGCCUAGGAAUCUGCCUGGUAGUGGGGGAUAACGUUCGGAAACGGACGCUAAUACCGCAUACGUCCUACGGGAGAAAGCAGGGGACCUUCGGGCCUUGCGCUAUCAGAUGAGCCUAGGUCGGAUUAGCUAGUUGGUGGGGUAAUGGCUCACCAAGGCGACGAUCCGUAACUGGUCUGAGAGGAUGAUCAGUCACACUGGAACUGAGACACGGUCCAGACUCCUACGGGAGGCAGCAGUGGGGAAUAUUGGACAAUGGGCGAAAGCCUGAUCCAGC